rnacentral:rRNA from 1 species
GACGAACGCUGGUGGCGUGCUUAACACAUGCAAGUCGAACGGGAUUUAGUAAACAGAAGCCUCGGUGGAAGAUUACUAAUGAGAGUGGCGAACGGGUGAGUAACGCGUGAGCAACCUGCCUAUGACAGUGGGAUAGCCUCGGGAAACCGGGAUUAAUACCGCAUAAAAUCGUAGAAACACAUGUUUUAACGGUCAAAGAUUUAUCGGUCAUAGAUGGGCUCGCGUCUGAUUAGCUAGUUGGUGAGAUAACAGCCCACCAAGGCGACGAUCAGUAGCCGGUCUGAGAGGAUGAACGGCCACAUUGGAACUGAGACACGGUCCAGACUCCUACGGGAGGCAGCAGUGGGGAAUAUUGCACAAUGGGGGAAACCCUGAUGCAGCGACGCCGCGUGAACGAAGAAGGUAUUCGUAUCGUAAAGUUCUGUCCUAUGGGAAGAUAAUGACAGUACCAUAGAAGAAAGCUCCGGCUAAAUACGUG